rnacentral:rRNA from 1 species
AAUCAACGCUGGCGGCGUGCCUAACACAUGCAAGUCGAGCGGUAAGGCCCUUUCGGGGGUACACGAGCGGCGAACGGGUGAGUAACACGUGGGUGACCUGCCCUCAGCUCUGGGAUAAGCCUGGGAAACCGGGUCUAAUACUGGAUAUGACUCCAUGACGCAUGUUGUGGGGUGGAAAGCCUUGUGCGGCUGAGGAUGGGCCCGCGGCCUAUCAGCUUGUUGGUGGGGGAUGGCCUACCAAGGCGACGACGGGUAGCCGGCCUGAGAGGGCGACCGGCCACACUGGGACUGAGACACGGCCCAGACUCCUACGGGAGGCAGCAGUGGGGAAUCUUGCGCAAUGGGCGAAAGCCUGACGCAGCGACGCCGCGUGAGGGAUGACGGCCUGG